ACACUUAGCUAGGCGACGCCCGCAGGGGUAGCGCUUUCUUUUUAGAGGAAAGGGAAGAGGUGCCGACGUGGAAGUAGGAGAGGGAGGGGACGGCGGAGCUAGGGGGACAGGGCGUGAGGGAGAGCGGCCGGCCUCCGCCGAGACCGCCCGCCCCGCUUCGGUGGCCUUAGUACCGGUUCAGACCACGGACAUUCUUCCGCCGUGGUCGGGCCAGUCGCGCAGGGCCGUCCGAGCACUGCGGUCGGCGAGCGGUGUCGGCGAGAAGAUGCGGCCGCGAGGCUGAUCGAGCAGGUGGUCAGGCAGCUGUGGCGGCGUGGACAUGGGGAGAGAGUAUCUAAGGAGAUGACGUUUGGGAUGUACCUCCGGUUACAUGUGGGGACGUAGACUUCCGAACGAUUCAAAACCUGUUAAGAGAGGUUACGUAGGAAUAUUAAAACCUGGAGUAUAUCUAGUGUUUCAAUUUCAUGAUGAUAUCUAGGGUGUUUUGUUAUUUACCGUUGGAAGUACAAUGGUGGAGAUUCAAUGAUGUAUGAUACCUCUAUCAUUGUAUCUCAUCAUUGUAUACGUACAAUGAUGAGAUACAAUAAUGGGUAAUACCGAUCAGAAUCGCGACGGAUCGGUUUGACCGCGGG
rnacentral:rRNA from 1 species